CGGGGCGUAGCUCAGUCAGGCUAGAGCGCGCGGUUUGGGUCCGCGAGGUCGCCGGUUCAAGUCCGGCCGCCCCGA
rnacentral:tRNA from 1 species